GCCACUUUCCUUAUAAUGAAAUAUCGAUAUUACAACACCUCUUAGAAGGACAAUAAAUUCUUUUAUCACCAACAACAUUCUCAAAUGCAAAAUCUAUAAAUUUUUUGACCCCCAUCAGUAUAUGAAUUGGAUAUCUAUUUGGCAAACCAACCCAACUCUGGUCCAUGACUAUCUCCUUUUAUUGCACUAGAAAAAUUAGUUAAAUAAAUCACUUUAAUUCUUCAUUUCUACUACUAAACAAGAUAUUUUCAUGUGUGCGCAGUUUCGCAAUAUAAUAAAAAAAAUUAUUAUACAAUUUUAUGGUUUUAUAUAUAUGGAAGCAAGCAAAGCCACAAGAAUCAGAGAAAAAGAUGUGAAAAUUAAAGUAUAUAUACAAUAAUAAUUAAUCUAAAAAACAGUUUGCAAUACCUUCUGUAAAGAAAUAUCCUCACCACAGCUGAGAACUUCACUUGGCUAUCAAUUACAGAUAUAUAAAGCCUGUUACCUAGAAACAAAAAAUUAGGUCAGCCAGCUGAAACAUAUUUAUAAACCAACAUUGGAGAUAGUACUCCAUUUAUAAAAAAAAUUACAAGACUCAAAACCAAGUCGACUCAGCAAAAUCAUAACCGAUUACAUUCAUCCCACUCAGCUCCUCCAAUAUAUCCAACAUUCCCUUCAUAUUUACAAAAGGUAAGUGGUCCUAUAUAUCCCACUCAAGAAUGCAUAAGUUUCUUCAAUCUUAAGUAUCUAAAGUUUUCCUCUACGUUUAUAGAAACUUCGGAAGCAUCUCCCUAUAGUUCUUCAAGUACACGACAUAGAUAUAUGAGUGUUUAUGUGUUAUGCCAAAACAACACAUGACACCCAUUUGUCUAGUAUGCACCCAGAGAACAUGAGGAGCAGCUGCUGAAAAACCCAUUUUUACGUGGGAAAAAAAUUUCAGGCACUAGCUACCAUAGAAAUCUAUGCAUUACCAAACUGUCCAAGCCUAGAUAAUUCAAGAAUUAUUAAUAGACAUAAGAUCCUCACUAUCAUCCAAAAGAUGACACUAAUAAAACAUGUGUCUAUUAAUAAUUUCUUAAAGGAGUUUAAGCUUUCAAUGCAUGUAUCAAAAGUUUAAAAUUGAAUCUGAAACUUGAAUAACACAUAAAAAUCAUAAAUCUCUUCAAUUUAUUCCUAAUAAAAUGUAGCAUUUUUUCACAUUUCAUUUCUUAAGCAAAACCAUAAAAAAUUACAGACAAUAAAUACAUUUUCUAGCACUGAUGCACAUUAUGUUUACUGAGCAAUAAGUUUUAAGUCAUUCAUAUUAAAAUACUUCUUCCUAUUCUAUAAACAAAUAACUAGUACGUACACACAAUUAAUAAAUUAAAUGUAACCUGGUUGUGAAUCUUGCAAAGUCUUACUAUUUGUUUUUUUUUUUUGGUGGUGGUGGUGGUGGGGGGGGGGGGGGGGGGGGGGGGGGGGGGGGGGGGGGGGGGGGGGGGGGGGGGAGGGGAGGGGGGGCGGUUAUGCUCAUUUGUAUGUUGUUAACAGAAAUUGAUCCAAAGCCUCAGUUUUAAUUAGCUUCAUUAUAGCCAAUGAUUAGGUGUUUAAAAACCAAUGAAUAUUUUUUAUAAGAAAUCAACAAUAUUGUUGAAAGAAAAACCAAAUAAAAAUAAUAAAGCAAUGCAUAGAUUAAGGCUCUUUAUUAUCUAAUAACUAAUCAAACUAAGUUGUGGGUAAAGGCGAAUAUGUUUGUUUGGCCAAUAAUAAACUCAAGGAAUCACCAAUAAUCACCUAGUUACUAUUCCUUAUGCCAUGCAAUGUAAUGGUGUCAGUAAUGGCGACAAGGCAGGCAAUAACUAGCUAGCUAGUUAUGAUAGUUGCUUAACUUAACCUACUGGAAAUCUGAAGACCAAAAUGAAGAAACUUUGCCUAGAACUAGAAUAGGAAAACGUUCAUACCCAAAACCAAUAUACAUGAUUAACAAACUUGAUUAUAUGUAUAUUUUUGUUUGCCACACCAAAUCCCACUAUUUCCAUACUCAUAAGCACAAAAAACCAUCGCAAAAAUGAAUGACCAUAUAAAAUAAAAUAGGUCGUAGGACAUUGAGAAUAGGACAAUAUGAUUUAUGUACCGUAAAAUAACUAUAUCUGCAGUCAACUAUAUUUCUGUUAGAACUCUAAAGUUUUCCAUUAAAUUUUUUUCCCUGUUUGGUAAACCACUUAACUGAAACACUUAAGCAAGAUUGACAAUCAUAGACAUACAAGUAUUAAUAGGCUCGUUCAAGUGAAAUGAGCAUUAUUUCACAUAUCCUUUAGGCUUUUAAGUCAUUUAGAAGUCAUUCAUGUUAAACAAUUUCUUCAUAUACUUUCAAUAUAAUUAGUACAUACACAAUUAAUUAAUUAAAUAAAUCUGUUUCAGCUAGCACAGGAACUUAAGCAAUCAGAGCUAUUAGUUAUAGCUAGGACUUGAAUGAGGCACCUUUCAAAGUUCAAGAGGAGCAUCUGAACAGAAUGAAAGCAUUUUGUAGAAAUGGUAGUGAUGCUUUACAUCUACAUGCUCUUACACAAUAUGAACUUUCAUUUAUUCAAGAACAUAACACUAAUCCAAGCUCUUACUCUACAAGUCAAUUCAGUUUGUAGAUGCAAGCCAUUGUAAAAACUUUUGUGUUAUAAUUUCCGUAAAUGGAACAUGACAUUACUAAUAUAGAAUCAGCAAUGUUAUAUAACUUAUCAGACAAUAUAACAAGCACUUGGCGAGCAUAUAAGAUAAACUAAAACAAGUUAAUUAGAAAAUGAAACUAAAACCCAAGCUCCGCUAUUCAUUGUAGAAGCUUUAAACAUAAAAUAAAAGUAAAUCUAAAUACAUGAUUGUAAAACAUUAGAAUGGAUGUUGGAAUUAAAGCUAAAUUCAAUAGUAAUCCAAAUGAAUCCAUUUGAACUUUGUAAAUUCCGCAGAACAAAAUUAAUUUGAGUGAGCAAAGUCACCAAUGGAACAAGAACAGAAGGGCUUCAACUUCUAGGAACAAGAAAUAUUGCCGGCGGGACAAAAAUUGACAUUAAUGGUUACAAUACGAAUUAAAGAAAUCAAAACCUAUAAUUACAAGCUAAGAAAGAGAAGAAACUCAUAAUCACAAGCUUACCUGAAACGAUGAGAGAGAUAAUAAGAUGAAGAAGAAGAUCGCCGCCGUUUUACGCCAUUCUCCGGCUACCAGUAAGGUUUAGGAUGGCCAGGCACGCACGAGAGAGAAUUUGGGACUUUGGUUUUGAAAAUAUUGACUUCAGCAAAUAGUUUUCUAUUUAGAAACAAAUUUAUAACUCUACCGUCAAAAUAAUAGUAUGCCAAUUGGCUCUCUACCGUCACGUGGUUAGUAACAUAAGUGAGAGCAGUCUAGCAGAUAUUCCCGCG
rnacentral:lncRNA from 1 species